AGAGUUUGAUCCUGGCUCAGGACGAACGCUGGCGGCGUGCCUAAUACAUGCAAGUCGAACGAACUCUGGUAUUGAUUGGUGCUUGCAUCAUGAUUUACAUUUGAGUGAGUGGCGAACUGGUGAGUAACACGUGGGAAACCUGCCCAGAAGCGGGGGAUAACACCUGGAAACAGAUGCUAAUACCGCAUAACAACUUGGACCGCAUGGUCCGAGUUUGAAAGAUGGCUUCGGCUAUCACUUUUGGAUGGUCCCGCGGCGUAUUAGCUAGAUGGUGAGGUAACGGCUCACCAUGGCAAUGAUACGUAGCCGACCUGAGAGGGUAAUCGGCCACAUUGGGACUGAGACACGGCCCAAACUCCUACGGGAGGCAGCAGUAGGGAAUCUUCCACAAUGGACGAAAGUCUGAUGGAGCAACGCCGCGUGAGUGAAGAAGGGUUUCGGCUCGUAAAACUCUGUUGUUAAAGAAGAACAUAUCUGAGAGUAACUGUUCAGGUAUUGACGGUAUUUAACCAGAAAGCCACGGCUAACUACGUGCCAGCAGCCGCGGUAAUACGUAGGUGGCAAGCGUUGUCCGGAUUUAUUGGGCGUAAAGCGAGCGCAGGCGGUUUUUUAAGUCUGAUGUGAAAGCCUUCGGCUCAACCGAAGAAGUGCAUCGGAAACUGGGGAACUUGAGUGCAGAAGAGGACAGUGGAACUCCAUGUGUAGCGGUGAAAUGCGUAGAUAUAUGGAAGAACACCAGUGGCGAAGGCGGCUGUCUGGUCUGUAACUGACGCUGAGGCUCGAAAGUAUGGGUAGCAAACAGGAUUAGAUACCCUGGUAGUCCAUACCGUAAACGAUGAAUGCUAAGUGUUGGAGGGUUUCCGCCCUUCAGUGCUGCAGCUAACGCAUUAAGCAUUCCGCCUGGGGAGUACGGCCGCAAGGCUGAAACUCAAAGGAAUUGACGGGGGCCCGCACAAGCGGUGGAGCAUGUGGUUUAAUUCGAAGCUACGCGAAGAACCUUACCAGGUCUUGACAUACUAUGCAAAUCUAAGAGAUUAGACGUUCCCUUCGGGGACAUGGAUACAGGUGGUGCAUGGUUGUCGUCAGCUCGUGUCGUGAGAUGUUGGGUUAAGUCCCGCAACGAGCGCAACCCUUAUUAUCAGUUGCCAGCAUUAAGUUGGGCACUCUGGUGAGACUGCCGGUGACAAACCGGAGGAAGGUGGGGAUGACGUCAAAUCAUCAUGCCCCUUAUGACCUGGGCUACACACGUGCUACAAUGGAUGGUACAACGAGUUGCGAACUCGCGAGAGUAAGCUAAUCUCUUAAAGCCAUUCUCAGUUCGGAUUGUAGGCUGCAACUCGCCUACAUGAAGUCGGAAUCGCUAGUAAUCGCGGAUCAGCAUGCCGCGGUGAAUACGUUCCCGGGCCUUGUACACACCGCCCGUCACACCAUGAGAGUUUGUAACACCCAAAGUCGGUGGGGUAACCUUUUAGGAACCAGCCGCCUAAGGUGGGACAGAUGAUUAGGGUGAAGUCGUAACAAGGUAGCCGUAGGAGAACCUGCGGCUGGAUCACCU
rnacentral:rRNA from 1 species